UUCCCUGACAGUGUCCUAGUGAGAACAAGAGCCCGAAGCCCAGGAGAAAUCCCUCGUUUCAUCCCUCCCCACACAUGGACCAAGGACUUCACAUGGGAGACUUCAACUGCAUUUCAGUCCUGGGGAGAGGUCACUUUGGUAAGGUGCUGCUGGCAGAGUAUAAGAAGUCCAGCAAGCUGUGCGCCAUCAAAGCCCUGAAGAAAGGAGACAUCGUGACACGUGACGAAGUGGACAGG